rnacentral:lncRNA from 1 species
UCUCAUGUUACCAUGUAUCAGAUGUGUGGGCUCAGAUCCCUGCUCAGGAACCCACUGUGGGCCAAUCAACAGCUUCCCAAAACGAGUCAGGGAGUUCCAGAAGCUCCCAUUCCGGUGCCAGCUGAGAAUCCAUUUGGAUAAUAACGGAGUAAAAACUCUGGUUUGGAGAAAGUUUCUGUAAUGUUUUUCUUUUUCCUUUUUGGUGGAAGGGAGAAUAAAGGAGGAUAUUGCCUGGUAAGCAUGCAAAGAAAAAAAGUCACGCCAAUUUCACUAGAAUUGCCCAGAACCUCAACUCUGGUGAACUGCAGGUGACAACACUUCACACUGUUUACAUGAUUGGGGCUUCCCUGGAAACUGCGCUGACCCUGAGAUGAUUGAACAUUUAGAGUAAAACCCUUGAUGUAGUUCAUAAAAUUGGAUUCAAAUGAAAAGUUUAAUGUGGAGUCAUUCAAAAAUAACACUAAGAGCUCUUCCCUGAAUUCAAAAGAA